CUCGAUGCUGCUCUUCCAAUAUGACCUCCUACAUCCUCUUGACCUCUCCUAAAACGGUUUUCGUAAAACUAUAGUGGUACAUGUUCUAUAUUAUUUUUUCCUUUUUAAUGCUAUUCCGUUGAGUAUUUCUUGGUUUGCCAUUCUUUGUGUACAUUGAGCCGUAAACAAUAUUUUCAAUAGUAUCAUACUUUAAAAGCCUCUAAUUUUCCUUCUGGCUUGACCCAAAUUGUUCGUGUUUUCAGCCAUUAUCUACAUAAUGACACACUUCACACAAAUAUAGUUUCAAGAAAUCUUUUUUUUUUUUUACAUAUAUAUUUCUGUUUAGCAAAUAAUUUGUAUACUGUAUUUAUCCAAUAGGUAUUUAUAGUUUAUACCCACAAGAUAAAUAAUUGAAAAAUAGUAUUUUUUUUUGACUACUACUUGCAGAAAAUUGCAAUUUAUUUUUUCUAUCAAAUAUACUAAUUGUACAGCAUAUCUGCACAUGAUAUUACCUUGCACACAGGUAAUAUUAUUAUUAUCAAUAUCGUUUUGAAACUCUUAACGCAUUCGCGUUCGG